AGGAAGGGUUGGAAUGGAUGCAGUACUGGAGCUGCUGGAGCUGCUCGGCCGGAGUCCAAGUGGGACCCCUUGAAACGGCAAGAGAUGGAGGUGGAGGUGGUGGGGCCGCCGCUUGAGGUGGAGGUGGCUGUUGGUUGUUGGCUGUUUCCACCAUAUUUAUCGUUUAUUUAUUACUCUUCGCCUUCCCUGCUUAAGUAGAUAAACUAUGCAACUUCAAAUGCUCUCUCUUGUCUACACUACUCUUUAUCUACUGAAAAGCUAGAAACAAAUCACCGACCGAAACAAGAGAGAGAUAGACAGACCAAAACCAAGAGACUGAGAAAGAGAAAGAAAAUACAACAAAAAUAGAGCAAGAAAAGGAAAGAAGGGGAAGAGAGAGGAAAGCCUUCCGGAGAUGUUCCAAGAAACGAAAACAAAUAAAUGACCUGAGAGAGAGAGAGAGAGAGAGAAAAAUUAGAUCAAUGGGUUGAGGUCAUUCAUUUUUCUAUUGGAGAACAGAGAGAUGAGCUAUAGAAGAUAAAUGGGUGAUAAUUAAAAAUAAUACUAGUAGGAGAAAGGAGUGAGUAUUGGAUUUGCGUUAAGGUUGUCGUGUACUGAGAAGCAUAACAUAACUCUGCAUAAACAUGAACGCUUUGGUUUUUGGAUAACGUAUAAGCAGAAGAACGCGUGAUCCUCGAGUUCUUUGCACUUGUUAAUAAACAAGCUUU
rnacentral:misc_RNA from 1 species